rnacentral:rRNA from 1 species
GACAGAGGGUGCAAACGUUGUUCGGAAUUACUGGGCGUAAAGCGCGUGUAGGCGGCUAAGUAAGUCGGGCGUGAAAUCCCACGGCUCAACCGUGGAAGUGCACUCGAAACUGCAUAGCUAGAGUCCUGGAGAGGAAGGUGGAAUGCUUGGUGUAGAGGUGGAAUUCGUAGAUAUCAAGCGGAACACCGGUGGCGAAGGCGGCCUUCUGGACAGUGACUGACGCUGAGACGCGAAAGCGUGGGGAGCAAACAGG